CAGUCCUAGAGCCGGGGCUGCGGUCUGCUGCCUCCUGCCUGAUGGAGCGGGACUGGCAGGCACUCGCGGGGAGCCCGUCCCGGUGGAGCAAGGACCCCAGAAGGCGAAGAGAUGAACAGCGAAGCUCAUUCGUUAUUCGGCGGACAUUUGGGGGACAUCCACGGCAACCCAGGCCUUUUACAUACUCUCCAGCAGACUGUCCCCAUUUCCAGUGGUGGGAGUUAAGGGUCAGAAAGGCUGAAUACAGCAAUUACAACCUUCUUCCUUAUAUAAUAGCCUUUCAGAAAUAUGAACAAGGCUGUCAUCUCGGUGUCAAGCAGCUCUAGAAAUUUUGUGGUGCUGAGAAUAAUAGCAGAAUUCCUCAGAAUUAAAAAAAAAGA